rnacentral:rRNA from 1 species
GAUGAACGCUGGCGGCGUGCCUAACACAUGCAAGUCGAGCGAGAAAUUUACGAAUGAAAUUUCGAUGGAUUUUGUAAAUGGAAAGCGGCGGACGGGUGAGUAACGCGUAGGUAACCUGCCCCAUACAGAGGGAUAGCCACUGGAAACGGUGAUUAAUACCUCAUAAAACUGAGAAUACACAUGUAUGCUCAGCCAAAGAUUUAUCGGUAUGGGAUGGACCUGCGUCUGAUUAGUUAGUUGGUGAGGUAACGGCUCACCAAGGCGACGAUCAGUAGCCGACCUGAGAGGGUGAUCGGCCACAUUGGAACUGAGACACGGUCCAA